AGAAUAGUCUGAUAGAGGUCAGGCAAGAGGAGAACUUGGAAAAGCCACAGGAGGGGAAUUAGCUCCUGUGGUGGGUCUCAAAACACAAGCAAAACUCCAGGGAGGUAUCCCUGGUGCUUGGUGCUCAGCUGAGCAGAGUAUCAUGGAAGAUUGGUGAAGGACUAAAGUACAAGUUUGGGAAAGGUUAAAGGCUAAAGUAUUUUUGGGAUAGGAUUUGUUAGAGAACUUUUGGCAGGUGGGAGGAAUCCUGAGAGCCACAGCUUUGAAAGAAGGGAGAAGCCUGAGAUCUUGAGGAACCUGAGAGGAAUGUGGAUACACGAAAGGGUGAGACAUUAAGGUGGCCUGGCUGGAGGGGUCAGUCAUGAGAAGGAGCAGACCACCACAGGGCUGGUGUGGCUGUCAACAGGUGGUACUAGAUGACAAGACCUUCCUAUGCCACAUCCAGUGCCAGGGGAAAACUAGCGUUGCCCUUCUUAGGAUUCCUUUUUUGAGUUCUGCUAUAUCUGACUUGAGAUGAGUGUGUCUAGACUGGAACACCAUAUUCCAAAUGAGUCAGAUGAGCCAAUCAAACCUGAAUCCCAUGUCUGAAAUCUUGGGUUUGACACUCCAAGUAUUACACUGUGUGUGUGUGUGUAUCCAGUUUACAACAUGUGUCUGCAAGAUAUUUCUUUCACAACAUAAUAUGUCAACCAUGGUUGUGCAUCCACAUUUACCUUUCCUGUUUGCAUAUUGCACUCUGGAAAAAAUCUGUAUUACUAUCCCAUAAUGCCUCAGCAUGUAUGGACUACCCAGAAGGCAUGAAUUCAAAGUAUCACCAGAAGCAGCUGGGAGGGCAAUACAUUCUGGCAAUGUACAGAGAGAACUGGAAAGAACUAGGGCCUGCUUACAUACUAAUUAAACAGUACUGGUUAGGAAUCCCCUCUAUACUAAAAAAAAAAAAAAAAAAAACCAGGAUUACAAACUGGCAAAAAGGAAGAAAAACAUGUACCAGCCUAGGCAAGUGGCAGGGAAAAAGCAUUGUGAGCUUCCAUGGUAACUGACCAAGUAUUAAAUAAAACAAUCAAGGUUUUAGAGGUAAACUGAUUUAGGGAUUUGUAUGGCACUGUAGUAUCUAACUAUUUGUUACUAAAUAGUUCCAAAGUUGGUUUAAAAUAGCUUUAGAGAAUCUGAAUAAUAUAUUCAGAUUGCAUUUUGUCAUCUUAAAAACACAGAUUUAGGUCUACACUCUCCAAAUUAGAUUUGAAGGCACAUAUUUUUGAUUUUCUAGCCCUAGGAUUACCGCUGUUAUUCAGCUCCUUCAGAUAAAUUGCUUUUUAGAUUGCAACUGAACCCAAAUGUACAAGUGGGUGGUCUGACUAAUACCCAAUGGAAUUCAUAUGUUACACUAAUUCAUAAGUCUUUCCAUUGGCCUCCUAUGCAGCUUUGAAUUAAUGUUAAUUAAUGUCAGCCAGUGCACUUAUCUGAAUUUCCUGUUCCUUAUACUCCCAGCCAUGGCAUGCAUUUUCUUACAGUUGAUAUCCUAGAACUCAACAUCAGUUCAUUCAGAAUUAAGCUUUGAUUUGAGCAUACCCAGGAUAAUUAAUGAUCAUCUCAAUGAAAGUCUUUCAAUCUCCUAGAAAUCUCAUGAAGGACUGAAGUCAUCCUUGGCAGAACAAGCUGAUGAUGGUCACUUUCUCAGUAGAUUCUCCUGAUUUGCAAUAAAUAUACCCCCUUUUGUUUAGCAGCUCUUCUUUAUUUUGAAGGUUGAUGGCAACAUUAUUGGUUUAUUACUUGGAAUGCAGUGCAUUCCAAUAACAAAAUAUUACAUUAUUUGACUAAUUUUCUUAAAGGUUCAAGGGGAUUAAAAAUGUGAACUCUUUGCUGUAAUUUUUAAAAACCAC